GUCGAGCGGGGUUGUCGGAGUGGAGUCCUUCGGGAUGAAGCACUGCCAACCUAGCGGCGGACGGGUGAGUAACGCGUGGGUAACCUGCCCUAAAGCCCGGGAUAACACCGGGAAACUGGUGCUAAUACCGGAUACCUUCCAGAGGGGGCAUCCUUUUUGGAAGAAAGGUGAACGCUUUAGGAUGGGCCCGCGUCCCAUUAGCUAGUUGGUGAGGUAACGGCUCACCCAGGCAGUGAUGGGUAGCCGGCCUGAGAGGGUGACCGGCCACACUGGGACUGAGACACGGCCCAGACUCCUACGGGAGGCAGCAGUAGGGAAUAUUGCGCAAUGGGCGAAAGCCUGACGCAGCGACGCCGCGUGAGUGAUGAAGGCCUUCGGGUUGUAAAACUCUGUCCUUGGGGACGAAGGAAGUGACGGUACCCAAGGAGGAAGCCCCGGCUAACUACGUGCCAGCAGCCGCGGUAACACGUAGGGGGCGAGCGUUGUCCGGAAUUACUGGGCGUAAAGGGUGCGUAGGCGGCCUUUUAAGUCAGAUGUGAAAGACCACGGCUUAACCGUGGGGUUACAUUUGAAACUGGGAGGCUUGAGUGUCGGAGAGGGCAGUGGAAUUCCCGGUGUAGCGGUGAAAUGCGUA
rnacentral:rRNA from 1 species